GGUAAUUACAACUUCAACAGCAUAAGCUCCUAUCUUACUGUAGCAAGUUAUAUAAGAAAUACAUGCAGAGAAAUUUGUGAAGGGAUGCUUGAACUUCACAGAGGCAGACUUCCCCGUUGAAGAAAGCGCAUGCCAGAGGUGCUGGGGUUGCUGGUGGUGAGACAAGCUUUUGUGCCUGUUGAGGCAGCUAAGGCGGGCGGCGAGCUCGCUCCUUCCCGUGCUUGCCUGUUUGAUUGACGUUGGCUUCCCAGUCGCUGUGACUGUGCCUGAAGAAAAGCGAAGGAGCAUAAUUUUGCUGAGAGAAUUUUCCUGGCAGGGGAAGGCAUGCAGUGCAGAGAAACGUGCCAACAAAGAGCCUGGAAGUGCAAGUCCAGGUGCUAACGCAACUUCCACCCAAGCCAUGCUGUUGUGAAGUCCUUUUUCUCCAGCCGCGUCUUGCCAAGCGCACCAGGGCGGGCUGCACAGGGGCUGCCCAUGGCAUUGCGGCAGUCUGGGCUGGAUUAGUUCCUGGUGUGUCAUUGCUUCGGCUCUCUGAAGAACUGAAGUAGAUUGCAGGAAAGAUGUUGGACUUGAGCUUCCUGACCGAGGAGGAGUAUGAGAAGCUGAUGAAGGUUCUGCAGAGGGAUGCAGAGCUGAAGAAGAAGGAUGGGGAUCGCAUCAGGCGAAUACAAGGCUCCAUCAAGGAUGAAAAGAAGAAGAAGUUUGUGACAGGUGAAUGGUUUUCAGAAGUGAAGGCAAAACGGUUUCAGGAGGACUUAGAGGGGCCAGAUCUACUUCGGGCAUCGAUUAGAAAGAAAAAGGGCAAACUAGAAAAUGAGGCCAACGAGCACAUCUGGAUGGGUCUGGAAAGCAAAGCUGCCCCGAGUCCUCCCUUCCCCGAGCACGCUGCUGGCGCAGGAAAGGAGAGAUCCAGCACACCAGCUCUUGAUACUGCAGAGGACCGUAAGAUCUUGCCCAAACCGAAGCCGAGACUUCUUGUCCCGCUGUUUGCAUCGCAUAAGAGAUCCAGUAUACAUGAUGUCUCUUCCUCAGAGAGUGACACUGGAACAAGUCCAUUUGUGGCUGCAAACAACAGCUUGCAUUUGUCUAGAAAAGGUCAUGGAGCAUCUCCAUUGCCCACCAAGCUUUCAGAGGAUGCUGUGCCUCAGCCCAGCAGUGCAGCUGGAGGAGAAGCUGUUGAUGGGGCCACUGGUGCCACGGCGGGGGCAAAAACUCCACCCGAAGAAACUUACGCUCCCAGCAAGAUACCAGUUAAGAGAAAACCAAGCAGAACUUUCCCCAGGUCUGAGCAGUUUGUCAGUCACAUGGGGCCAGCAGAGAACAGCCUCACAAACAGAAAGCUGCUGGCAAGCCCCAAACCACUGAUCGCAGAGGGGGAAAGCAGCCAGGCUGUGAAGCAAGGCGUGAACUAUACAAUCUCAUCGAUGAGUAACAAAGAGGAGGAUAUCGGCCUCGAUCGUGAACACUUCAAGAACUUGAAGAACUUCUGGGAGAAGGGAGCAGACUCUGUGACAGUGGGGAACAUGUCGGGGGACCCGAGCUGCGUGGAGGCGGACGGUAGGCAGUUCAAGCUGUGCCGCUCACUCUCUGUGCAGUCUGGGCAAGGCCAGAACAGCGAAGAAAAACCUGGUGUCUUCACCAAAACAAGAACCCCCUACAAAAGGACAAUAACCUUGUCUUCUAGCGAGGAAGAACCGAGCUAUGUAGCCCCUGCAAGGAAGGGCUCGGUUUCCAUCAUUCCUAGAGCCACGUACGCCAAGAGCAAAGGCGGCCUGGUUACAAGAAAUAACUCGCUGAGUGAAAGCAAUGGGAAGCUGCCAGUGCCAGAGGAAGAGAAGGCGGCACAGUGCUGCUCCAAGAAAUCCAGAUUGCCUGUGCGAGCGCCUUCCAUCAAAAUCGAGUCGCCUACCAAAGAAGUGUCUGGCAGCACGUUUGAGCCAGAGACGCCUACAGAUGAGUUUAUCGUGGCAGCAGAGCGCAAGCACGCAGCGAAUUCCCUGGCGAGCAGGGUGCAGAUACUGAUAGAGCCUGUGCUUACAGAUGGUGAAACCGAUGAUGAGAAAAGGGAACGAUCUGAUUUGGGUGCUCAUGACAACAUGGAAAUAAAUGGAGAGCUACCUGAGGAAAAAAUGCGUGAGUCUUCGGACAAGCCAACACCCGGUGAACCAGCCAGAGAGAGAGAAGCCGUUCAGGGAACAGACUCAGCUGUUUACUCAGAGGAAGAUGGGGAUCAUUCUCCCGCCGCUCAGGCAUUGGCCCGGGCAAAUAACAUUAAUCUUGCAAAGAGCAUGGUGAACAUUUAUACAACCACAGAGACAUACAAUAAACCUCAUUUGAUACCCCAUCAGUUUCUUGAGCCUGAAAGAGUCAAAGAGCUGAGCAGAUCCUCUCCUCUCCUGUUGUCUGAGACUGAAUCAGACACGGCUUCGGAAAUCAGCUUCCAGUUUAACAAGCACAAAAAGACGCCUAGCAUUGGCAGCCACUCGUCCGACAUGGCAUCUGUCUCCUCGGUGAGUGGCAGUGUGCUCAGUGUCUACAGUGGUGAUUUUGGGAGCGUGGAUGCCCAAGGUACCGUGGAGUUUGCUCUAGACUAUGACGAGAAGAACCGGGAGUUCCAGGUUCAUGUGUCCCAGUGCAAGGACUUGGCUGUCGUGGAUGAGAAGAAAGGCAGAUCUGACCCGUAUGUUAAAACUUACCUGCUCCCAGACAAAGCUAGAAUGGGUAAGAGGAAAACUUCAGUGAAGAAGAGGACAGUGAAUCCCAUUUACAAUGAGGUGUUACGGUAUAAAAUAGAGAAAAUGGUAUUGCUGAUCCAAAAAUUAAAUCUCUCUGUUUGGCACAAUGAUCCACUGGGACGUAACAGUUUCUUGGGAGAGAUUGAAGUAGACUUGGCCAGCUGGGACUGGAGCAACAGGAAACUCAACUGGUACCCACUGAAGCCCCGAAGCCUUUCUGCUGUUAAUGGUGUGGAUCAUCGAGGAGUGAUGAACUUGUCUAUUAAGUAUGUCCCUCCAGGAAGCCUAGGUCCCAGGAAUCCUCCCUCUGGCGAAGUUCACAUUUGGGUCAAAGAUGUCAAGGACCUGUUGCAGUUGCGUCCUUCUGGAGUUGACUCCUUUGUGAAAUGCUAUGUGCUUCCAGACACCAGUAAGAAGAGUUACCAAAAGACCCGAGUCAUAAAAAGAGACACAAACCCUGUUUUCAAUCACACUAUUGUCUAUGAUGGCUUUCAUACAGAGGAUCUAAAGGAUGCUUGUGUUGAACUGACUGUAUGGGAUCAUGAAAAACUUACCAACCAUUUCCUUGGAGGAAUCAGGCUGGGCCUCGGGACAGGCUUGAGCUAUGGCAUCUCUGUGGACUGGAUGGACUCCACGCAAGAGGAGGUGGCCUUUUGGCAGGAGAUGAUGUCGGCUGCCAAUGAAUGGAUUGAGGGAUUGCUGCCACUGCGCUCACUGGCAGGGAGGAAAAAACUGAAAUAACCUACCAUUCGUGCCAUAAAAAGGCUGAAUGAGUUCGUUAGGAUUAGGAAACUUCCUGCACCGAGGUGACAGAAACCGUCCGUGGCACUGGCAAGUGCCAGGUUAAUGAGGCGACUGACGGACAGCACUUUGGAGAUGUUAAAUGUUAAGUACCAAUUCCCUGACAGAGGACAUGGAAGAUGCCAAACUGAUGCUAUACUUGAUUUUGACCAAGAAGAAACUUAAUUUUCCUUUUUAUUUAAUCAUUUAUAUUCAGUAUCUUUGAAUUCCAUUAAGCUCUGGGAACAUUGGCAGAAGGAAAAGGCAAUAUAGAUAUUUUUAUUUUUUUACUGUUUCUUGUGGCUUUUUUUUUUUUUCUGUGCAGAGAUGUAGUUGUACUAAAGCAGCAGCAUGGUAUUAUUCAUGUUCCCCUGCAAGUGGUACACUUUGUACUUGAUGUAGAAUUGCUCCAAGUCACCAGCAGCACGGUCUGAGAAUGGGAGCUUUGCAUUUGUCACUGGUGAUAACACAUCUGUAACGUCAGGAAAAUUGAGAUCCAAGGUGAAUCUAAAGAAAGGAGAGGACUAUUUGAAGCAGAAAAUGAAGCAACCUGAGGAGGAUUACAAUGAGGAAUUCAAUAUAUUAAUUUCAUUCUGGUUUAAUAUGAAAGAGAGAAGUGAUGGUCCUGCAGCUAGUGGGAUUUUGCACCCGGGGCUGUUUUCCUAGCGUUCCCACAGGCUUCCUCAGUGACCUCACACAAGUUUCUCUAUGAAAGGAUAGUUUCAGUGCAAUAUAAACUAAAGUGCUUGCCCAAGUGUAAAAUAUGGUUACAUUGCUGAUGGGCCUAAUCGCACCUUUGAAACGCUUUGUGUGCAAAACAUUUCAAUAUGAAAUACUGAUGUAGGAAACAGUCUCGUGUUAGCCUGGUACGACGGGUCAGGAAAGAAAGGUCAAAAACCACACUGGAACGCAGGAGAUGUUGGGAGCCGGUGGGAGAGGUGUCCUGGUCGUCUGCUGUUACUGUUAAAACGGAUGCCCAGGAGGAGAUGUCCCUCUGAGUGCUGUCGCAAAGGUUGUUGGAAGACAUCGGGAAGCUCACUGUAAAGCACCACGCAAAGGCGUGUUUGCAAAGACGCUGUAAGAUCCUGUUCCCUUCCUGGGAAGACUUGAACAGCUACAAGGACAUAAUAUUCCCAGAGGAGGAUCUGUUCUUGGAUUCAGGCAGACUCAGGCAGAUAUAAUGAUCUCUUGAUGGGAGCCCCCCUUUUUUGACCAGCCAUCCCAUGACCAUUUUAAUGUGAUCAUAAUCUGAAGUAAGACACCGGGACCUGCAUCUGGAGCAAGCUAUCCCAUGGUAAUGAGCUGACAUUUAAUUUAUUUUCACACGGAAACGUUUCACAAAUGUUUUACGUCUCUUCAAAAACCCAGCUGACUUGCUCACAUGCGCAAACCAUUGGGGCUGGAGGCUACAUCAUGUGGGUGCUGUGUGGCACCCAAGGGUGGCUCUGCCACUUGCAGGGAUGCAGGAACAAGCUUAUCCUCUGUGCAUGUCCGCCCAUGCGGAUCACACUUCCCUGUCCAUUCAGGUUGCAAAGCAAAUACUCACACUGCCCUGGAGCACUGCUAUUGACUCAAGAGGCUUCUCUGGUAAUUUCUGAAAUUCCUCUGCAUUUGUGUCUCUCCCACAUUCUCCCAUCGGCACAGAUCCUGGCUGGCUUUGUGGCCCCGUCUCUGUGGCGUUGUUAAGCUCCUUGGGAGGAGGCAGAGCCUCCUGCUCAGGGGAUGGGGCAAUUCAAGCUGUCUGAGGUCAGGCAGCUGCGCUGUGCUGGGCCCCUUGUUCCUCUACGGCCAAGGGAGAGAGCAGUGGUGGUGGAGAACGAUUCAACCCAUCAAGCUGAGUGGGAUAAAUAGCUCUCAAGAUGUUCCUGCCUGCCUCUGUUGGCUACAGAAGGAGCCUGAACACCUAGUGUAGGAGAGACAUUUAGGUAAUUUAUCAAGCCUGUAUCUGCCCUACUGCUUUUGAUUUGAUCCAGUGUGACACUGGGGGACUGGUGGUACCUCUGCAGGAUGCCACCCCUGGAACCCCAACCAGGAUGCUUGGAGCUGCCUUUGUGUGCAGUACUCAGUUGCUCACUAGAAGCAUUUUGCUGACAGGUUGGCGUUUGGGGAGGGAAGCUAGACCUGGGGACAGAGGCUGCCAGUCUGCCACAGAAAUCCACCACUACAAAAGACACCUGAGUCCAGCCAAAAGCCAAGGUGGGACAGAAGCUUCACCAUGUGCCUCCUGGCAUUCAGCCUUGCCUGCGCUUCCCUGCUGCUACUGCUGUUGAAGGCUCCAAGGCUGUCAUCUCCUCACAAAGUCCUAAAUUACGCUCCUAGUGCCUGCUGUCAGCUGGGCUGUCAGUUCCUGAGCACCGUGUGGUGCCCUUGGCUUUAUGCUUGUCUGCACCACCCUGACUAACUGUGGGCAUCAUAUAAAUAAUAAACAUUAAUUUGCUUAGUACCUUCCCUCUCUCCUGGGUUUUACAGUGGCACGCAUCAGCUAGCAGGUCACGGGUGCAAUCACAUCCUUGUCAACGGUGUAAUCUGUCUCCAUGUCACAUCUCCUGGACAGGCCUAAUUUAACAGGGAUGUUUUUUGGAACUAGCUAAUAAAUUGUUUGCUGCAUGCAGUUAGCCAGCCCCAUUCUCAGCACUCCCAUCACCCUGGUGUGUGGCCCAUAACUGUUUUCAGUAAGAAACUGGUCUCUGGCCAGUUUGGUAGCGUACACUUGCAGGGCUCCACUUGGGUGCGGUUUAUCUCUGCAGUGAUGAGCAGCUCCAUCGCGUGUGGGGCUGGGAUAUAAAACCUGCGAGGGCUGGGGACGUCAGCUUGUGGGUUCAGGUGCUCUGGUUCACCAGUGUGUUGGGAUUGCCACACCUGGGGCACAGGCACGGGCCAUCUCGCGCAGCUCCCGUGCAGCCAGCCCCGCCAGGGAUUGUGUCUGAUUGAUUGUUUUUUGUAUCCCUGGAAACCGAAAGGGCAUUAAAAUUGCAUGGUGCGUGCAGUGCUGAUGCACUCUCCUCCUCGUAGUGCUGCCACGGGCUCGGAGAUGGCUUCUGCCUCCAGCUGCCAGCUACAGGGUGCAGUGGACACUGGCUGUUUUUUCUAGAAAAACAGAACUACAACUGAAUGGCAAACUAUUUGGAGGGAAGGACCUCUGUGAAUCGCAGUGCUGAUGUCCAGGGGGGUAUGUCUGACUCCUAGCCAUCCCUGACCAUGGCUCAGUACCUUCGCUGUUUGUGGCCCAGCCACAGCGAGCCUGGGCCUCACGGCACAGACCUCCUGCCCCAAAGGAGCUGCCUGCCUUGAAACCAUCCCGCCCCAGCCAUGGGGACUGCUACGGCUGGCACCAGGCUCCUAACACGGGCUGCAUAGCAGCAGUUCCUGCCUUUUGGAGCACACGUGGCAGUCACCACCCACCAGCCUGAAAUGGUUGGAACUGGGCUCCCAAAAACCCCUCCUACGUAUCUACUGAGGGCUUCACCAUCUAACACUAAAAGGAAGUUAAUAUAAUCGCUCUGGGACAGAGCAGCGCAGGGUAAUGAGGCAGUCGUUCUCCAGCCCUCGUCCUCUUCUGUCCUGGCUUUCCUGCCUUAAAACAGGUUUACUAAACAAGAAAUACCCACUCCAGUGGCUGAUGCGUGGAUGUUUUUCACCUUGUGCCGGAGCCGUGCACAGAAGUGUGCAUAGGUGGCCCUCAGGAAGGGCUUUAACCCAUGUUUGGCUGUACGCAGUGCGGGACUGUAUGGUGGUGCUGCCUGCACGGCAGCUGCCCUUGGCCUCUUCAGGCAGCGCCGGCAGCUGGGUAGGACCCUGCUUGUGGAGUCCCACGGGUGCUGCCAGCAGAUGACAGAGCUCGACCCCUGUGUGCCAGCAUGAGGUCAGCCGUGCCCUCAUCUGUGCUGAGGUUGGUUCAGGCAGCUCUUCCAGCACUAGCAGUUGUGAGGAGAAAGGGGCUCCUCUGGAAUCGUCCCAGGUCCCAUGGAAAGGAGCGCUGAAGGUUUGCCCAUAGUCCGCGGCUGCCGACAGCCCGCAGAGGCUGCUCCGAGCACUGCCAUCAGUGUGCAUGCUCCUGCGGCUUCUCACCAGCACCCACUGUCCUGUCCCCAGCCAACAAACCUGCUUUUGCAUCAAAUCUGGGUUAGUCUCUCUCUCUGUUUCAGACACCAGAUUUUCCAUUUUCUAAAACAGUACCAGAACAAAGGCUCUCCCAGGAUCUCAUUUUCUCCUACCUUCUCGGUUGCUGCUAAUUAAUAUCGUGGCUGCCUAGUCACGCAGCAUGUGUUCAUCUAUAUGCAUGUGUUCAGAGAAGAUGAAAAUAAUAAUAUCUGCAUCACGGGAUCCUGUGGGUUUAUUUGCCAGGGAAAACAGGUCCCUGAUGCUCCAGGAAUUCCUCUAGCUACGACAGCAUCUGUGGAGCACCUUGGUGCUCUCCUUGGCUCCUCGCAGCCCUGCAAGUCAGGGUUCCCCGGCUGCUCCCUGUCAUAGCUCACGCUACUGCCAUGCAACAUCCACCAGCACCUUGAGAUUCCUCCUGGACGUGCCACUGAUGGUUGACUUGCAGAGUGUGUUACCGAGCACCUUGUGCAUGCUUGAGUGCAGUCGAACCUGUGGAAGAAAGGGAAUGGGUCAUGGCCAGGAGAGAAAACCAGUUAAGAGAAACCACAAUUUGUUGCGGGCUUGAACUAAUGGGCAUCGAGUACUCGAAAAUCAUACGGUAAAGUGCAACAGAUCCCCACAAAGCAUCGCUGGCAAUGAGUCACUGGUUAAUGUACUGCUAACUCAGAUUUAUAGGUUUAAUAUUUUUCUGUUGCACCGCUUCUGUUGCUGUGCAGAUUGCUUCAUCAGUUUUCUUUCCUGUCCUGAGGUAUGUUAAAAUAGGAUCUUUUGGGGUUGUUAUUUUUUUAAUAAAUAUAUCUCAAAGGAUAUU